GCAAGUAGGGGCCGUCAACACCGUAGUCGAUCGGGGGUACCGGCAGCGGUCUCGGGGUCUACCAGAAAGAAGGAACAGAGGGGGAACACAAUAAAUAACAGAGCAAACAAAGCAACACAAAGCAUAACAUGGCAAUCCGCGGUGCUAGGGGUGACCUAACGCCGUAUGAGGUGAUAUCGGUGAAUGGGGGAAACAUCUGGGAAAAUAUCCCCGGUGUUUCACAUUUUCGGACAGAUGAAUGGAAGGAGGAAAGUUGCGUGUUCGCUAUGCUAGGGACAUGUGAUGGAUGAACGGGUUGCGUAUCCAGAUUCGUCUAAUUUUUCUGAUCAUCUUCACAUAUAAAUUAUUUCGAUCUGAGUUACGGAUUAUUUUCUAUGGAUUUUCAAAGUUUAUUGAAUUUUCUGAAAUUUCUGCAUUUAUUUAAUCGAAUUGAUCAAGUCAAUUUGACUGGUCAAAAGGGAAGAUGGUGGCCCACAUGUCAUAAGCUAUAUAUAAACAAAUAACUAAAACUAACUUAAAUAAAUCGGGUCCACAUGUAGUAGGCUUAAACUAAUUAAUUAACCAACUGAUCUAAACUAAAUUAGUUUAGACCUAAUUAAAAUAGGCCGGCCACACACAGCUGUGGCACAGCCCACGCGCACACAGCGCACACACACAAUGCUAGGAGUAACUCUAUUCCUUUUAACACAAGAUAGCAUUUUACGAUUUUUGUAGGAUUUAAUCCAAGCAUUAUCUGAAGCGGGUCCAAUUGAACAAAAUGAGGCUUGUUACGUCUACUUUCAGUUCAUAUAAUUUGUACCCAUGUUAGGACUUGUCUUAUUGCUGUUUAGUGGCAGUUUAGAAGGCUAGUCAUUGUAGAAAUACAAAAGCUAGCUCCUGCUACAGUAACUGAAUGUUACUGUAGCCGCGUAGCAUAGCAGCAGACAGCGGCUGCGGGAGCAGCAAAGCUGCAGCGAAGCAAGCGGCAUGCACACGGCGGCGCAUGUUGGGCGCAGGGUGGGUCGGACGCGAGGCAUGGGUGGCCGCGGCGUGAGCAGUGGCACGGGGUGAGCGCGGCCACGGCUCCGGCGGCGACCAGAGCAGACUGCAGCAACGUAGCGACAGCAGGAGGCGAGCGGGGGCGCGGCGCGCCGGCGCGCGGUUAGGGCUCGGCCUAGGGCGUGGGCAGGCCACGGCGGAGCGUAAGGCAGUGAGCGACGCGCGGGGCCGGUGAGCCCGGGAGGAGGCGGACGCGUGCGGGACGCCGGCGUGCGAGCAGCGUGCGGCUUGCGAGUACAGAGGACGACAAUGAGGACCAAACGGGCAUCUCCAGCAACGAUUUGAGCGGCCGCUGCUACCUAACGAAUCGGGCGCGACGUCGCGCGUUGAACGAAAUCAACGACACGAGCAGAGAUGGCCGGAGUUGGCCGAAGCAAUGACGGCAAGCGGCGGCCGGAGCAAGAGCUCAACGGAUACGGGGAUACGCGGGGAGAAUGAUCAAACAAACGGCUCAGGCGGUACCACAGGGACGCCACGAGCACGUUGACGUGCUUGCCUGGCCCUAGAGUACACGAUACUGACGGUGACGAGCUCGACGACGACGACAGAGCUUCGGUGGCGAUGGUAGUAUCAGCAGGAAACAACGAACCAAGUCUAGAGGAGAGGGGUUUCGACCGGGAGCUCACCGUGAGGCGCAAGAAAUGCCGGUGGGAGUUUAGUAGCUGCAGGAGGCGGUGAAUCGUUGGCGGCGAGCUUCGAGCACCGACGAAGAAGACGAAGUCGAUGUCGACGAUGUAGAGCACCUGGCCUCACGUGCGUUGGUGAGGAGGAAGAGGACGUCGAGGUGGAUCUCCUGGGCAUGGUGGUAUGGCGUGGAGCACUCUGUGGCUUC
rnacentral:lncRNA from 1 species